rnacentral:rRNA from 1 species
AGACCUAACGGUUGUUGUGAUGGGUAGGGGAGCGUCGUGUGCCGGGUGAAGCAGCCGUGUGAGCGAGUUGUGGAUGGUUCACGAGUGAGAAUGCAGGCAUGAGUAGCGAUUCACACGUGGGAAACGUGUGCGCCGAUUGACUAAGGGUUCCUGGGUCAAGCUGAUCUGCCCAGGGUAAGUCGGGACCUAAGGCGAGGCCGACAGGCGUAGUCGAUGGACAACCGGUUGAUAUUCCGGUACCCGCUUUGAAGCGCCAGCGCUGAACCAGGCGAUGCUAAGUCCGUGAAGCCGCCCUGGAUCCUUCGGGUGAAGGGGAGUGGUGGAGCCGACGGUCCAGACCUGUAGUAGGUGAGUGAUGGGGUGACGCAGGAAGGUAGUCCAGCCCGGGCGGUGGUUGUCCCGGGGUAAGGGUGUAGCCCGAGGGGUAGGUAAAUCCGUCUCUCAUAUAAGGGUGAGACCUGAUGCCGAGCCGAUUGUGGUGAAGUGGAUGAUCCUAUGCUGUCGAGAAAAGCCUCUAGCGAGUUUCAUGGCGGCCCGUACCCUAAACCGACUCAGGUGGUCAGGUAGAGAAUACCGAGGCGUUCGGGUGAACUAUGGUUAAGGAACUCGGCAAAAUGCCCCCGUAACUUCGGGAGAAGGGGGGCCAUUGCUGGUGAUCACCCUUGCGGUGUGAGCUGGUGGUGGCCGCAGAGACCAGCGAGAAGCGACUGUUUACUAAAAACACAGGUCCGUGCGAAGCCGUAAGGCGAUGUAUACGGACUGACGCCUGCCCGGUGCUGGAACGUUAAGGGGACCGGUUAGUCACAUUUCGGUGUGGCGAAGCUGAGAACUUAAGCGCCAGUAAACGGCGGUGGUAACUAUAACCAUCCUAAGGUAGCGAAAUUCCUUGUCGGGUAAGUUCCGACCUGCACGAAUGGCGUAACGACUUCUCGACUGUCUCAACCAUAGGCCCGGUGAAAUUGCAUUACGAGUAAAGAUGCUCGUUUCGCGCAGCAGGACGGAAAGACCCCGGGACCUUUACUACAGCUUGAUAUUGGUGUUCGGUUCGGCUUGUGUAGGAUAGGUGGGAGACUGUGAAGCCGCAACGCCAGUUGUGGUGGAGUCGUUGUUGAAAUACCACUCUGGUCGUGCUGGAUGUCUAACCUGGGUCCGUGAUCCGGAUCAGGGACAGUGUCUGGUGGGUAGUUUAACUGGGGCGGUUGCCUCCUAAAGGGUAACGGAGGCGCCCAAAGGUUCCCUCAGCCUGGUUGGCAAUCAGGUGUUGAGUGUAAGUGCACAAGGGAGCUUGACUGUGAGACUGACGGGUCGAGCAGGGACGAAAGUCGGGACUAGUGAUCCGGCGGUGGCUUGUGGAAGCGCCGUCGCUCAACGGAUAAAAGGUACCCCGGGGAUAACAGGCUGAUCUUCCCCAAGAGUCCAUAUCGACGGGAUGGUUUGGCACCUCGAUGUCGGCUCGUCGCAUCCUGGGGCUGGAGUCGGUCCCAAGGGUUGGGCUGUUCGCCCAUUAAAGCGGUACGCGAGCUGGGUUUAGAACGUCGUGAGACAGUUCGGUCCCUAUCCGCUGUGCGCGUAGGAGUCUUGAGAAGGGCUGUCCCUAGUACGAGAGGACCGGGACGGACGAACCUCUGGUGUGCCAGUUGUUCUGCCAAGGGCAUGGCUGGUUGGCUACGUUCGGGAGGGAUAACCGCUGAAAGCAUCUAAGCGGGAAGCCUGCUUCGAGAUGAGGGCUCCCACCUCCUUGA